AGGGAUAUGGCUCAGUGGUAGAUCGCAUGCCUAGCAUGCAUGAGGUCCUGGGUUCAAUCCCCAGUACCUCUA
rnacentral:tRNA from 1 species